GAUGAACGCUAGCUACAGGCUUAACACAUGCAAGUCGAGGGGCAGCAUGAACUUAGCUUGCUAAGUUGAUGGCGACCGGCGCACGGGUGAGUAACACGUAUCCAACCUGCCGAUGACUCGGGGAUAGCCUUUCGAAAGAAAGAUUAAUACCCGAUGGCAUAGUUCUUCCGCAUGGUAGAACUAUUAAAGGUUUACCGGUGUAAGAUGGGGAUGCGUUCCAUUAGAUAGUAGGCGGGGUAACGGCCCACCUAGUCUUCGAUGGAUAGGGGUUCUGAGAGGAAGGUCCCCCACAUUGGAACUGAGACACGGUCCAAACUCCUACGGGAGGCAGCAGUGAGGAAUAUUGGUCAAUGGACGAGAGUCUGAACCAGCCAAGUAGCGUGAAGGAUGAAGGUUCUAUGGAUUGUAAACUUCUUUUAUACGGGAAUAAACGAAUCCACGUGUGGAUUUUUGCAUGUACCGUAUGAAUAAGGAUCGGCUAACUCCGUG
rnacentral:rRNA from 1 species